GACGAACGCUGGCGGCGUGCCUAAUACAUGCAAGUCGAACGCUGAAGCUUGGUGCUUGCACUGAAUGGAUGAGUUGCGCACGGGUGAGUAAAGCGUAGGUAACCCGUCCGGUAGCGGGGGAUAACUCUUUGAAAAGAUAGUUAUUAUCGCAUAAGCGUAGAUGUUUCAUGACCUUUGAUUAAAAGGUGCAAUUGCCUCACUAUCAGCUGGACCUGCGUUGUAUUAGCUAGUUGGUGAGGUAACGGCUCACCAAGGCAACGAUACAUAGCCGACCUGAGAGGGUGAUCGGCCACACUGGGACUGAGACACGGCCCAGACUCCUACGGGAGGCAGCAGCAGGGAAUCUUCGGCAAUGGACGGAAGUCUGACCGAGCAACGCCGCGUGAGUGAAGAAGGUUUUCGGAUCGUAAAGCUCUGUUGUAAGAGAAGAACGAGUGUGAGAGUGGAAAGUUCACACUGUGACGGUAUCUUAACAGAAAGGGACGGCUAACUACGUG
rnacentral:rRNA from 1 species